GGCGGUAUUUUAGUCUAUUCAGAGGAAUCUGUCCUAUAAUUGAUAAUCCACGAUUUAAUUUACUUUUAGAAAAAAUUUAUAUAUCGUCGUAGUUUGAAUAUUUUAAAAGAAUUUUAAUGUUCAAAAUUUUUUUUAUGAAAUUAAAUCAGAUCAAGGUGUAGUUUAUAUAAAAGAAGAGAUGGAUUACAUUAAAUUUAUUUAAAGAUUAAUUUUUGUAAAAUUUUAUGAAUAUGGAUUUGAUAGUAAUUUUUUUAAAAUUUUAAAAAUGAUUUAAGCUCUAAAAUAUG
rnacentral:rRNA from 1 species